UACAGAGGGUGCGAGCGUUAAUCGGAAUUACUGGGCGUAAAGCGCACGUAGUCGGCUUUGCAAGUCGGUUGUGAAAUCCCCGGGCUCAACCUGGGAACUGCAUCCGAGACUGCAUUGCUAGAGUAUGGGAGAGGAAAGCGGAAUUUCUGGUGUAGCAGUGAAAUGCGUAGAUAUCAGAAGGAACAUCAGUGGCGAAGGCGGCUUUCUGGACCAAUACCGACGAUCAGGUGCGAAAGCGUGGGGAGCAAACAGG
rnacentral:rRNA from 1 species